rnacentral:rRNA from 1 species
UACGAAGGGGGCUAGCGUUGCUCGGAAUCACUGGGCGUAAAGGGCGCGCAGGCGGCUCAUUUUGUCAGGCGUGAAAGCCCCGGGCUUAACCUGGGAACUGCGUUUGAUACGGAUGGGCUAGAGUUCGGGAGAGGAGAGUGGAAUUCCCAGUGUAGAGGUGAAAUUCGUAGAUAUUGGGAAGAACACCGGUGGCGAAGGCGGCUCUCUGGACCGACACUGACGCUGAGGCGCGAAAGCGCGGGGAGCGAACGGG